rnacentral:rRNA from 1 species
UACGUAGGUGGCAAGCGUUGUCCGGAUUUACUGGGCGUAAAGAGCGCGCAGGCGGUCGUCCAAGUCGAAUGUGAAAGCCCCCGGCUCAACUGGGGAGGGUCAUUCGAUACUGUUCGACUCGAAGGCAGGAGAGGGAAGUGGAAUUCCGGGUGUAGUGGUGAAAUGCGUAGAUAUCAGGAGGAACACCAGUGGCGAAGGCGACUUCCUGGUCCUGU